rnacentral:rRNA from 1 species
AGAGCGAACGCUGGCGGCAGGCCUAACACAUGCAAGUCGAGCGCCCCGCAAGGGGAGCGGCAGACGGGAGAGUAACACGUGGGAACGUACCCUUCAGUUCGGAACAACCCAGGGAAACUUGGGCUAAUACCGGAUACGUCCGUAAGGAGAAAGAUUUAUCGCUGAAGGAUCGGCCCGCGUCUGAUUAGCUAGUUGGUGGGGUAACGGCUCACCAAGGCGACGAUCAGUAGCUGGUCUGAGAGGAUGAUCAGCCUCACUGGGACUGAGACACGGCCCAGACUCCUACGGGAGGCAGCAGUGGGGAAUAUUGGACAAUGGGCGCAAGCCUGAUCCAGCCAUGCCGCGUGGGUGAUGAAGGCCCUAGGGUUGUAAAGCCCUUUCGGCGGGGAAGAUAAUGACGGUACCGCAGAAGAGCCCGGCUAACUUCGCGCCAGCAGCCGC